UCCCCCUCACUUAAAACCCAAUUGUUAGAUAGAAAAAAAAAUGAGUGAAAGAAAGAAAGAGGAAGAGAAGACUGAAUAUAAAAGAAGAGGGAAAAUAAAGAAGAAAAAUAAGAGAGAAAACACCACCAUUCUUCAAUGCAUGUUCUACCUCCAAGCUUACCCACACCAUUCAUUUACAAUAUAUUCUUCUUACAAUAAUAUUGAAUACAAAUGAGGAGAGGAAGGUAUAAAGAACGAGUAUUAUGUUUCACUAUUGGAGAAACAAAAAAAUGUUUUGAAGAUGGAAGUUAAGUGAGGAUUAUUAUCAAUGAAUGAGAUUAAAACUCAACCUUAGAAAAAGACACAACUCUCCCACAUCUACAAGUUAAGGUAACAUAGAAAACUCUUUUAAAAUAUCUCUUAGGUGUGCUUAGAGAUAAUGAUUUGCAUGUUUGGGUAUUGAGAUAACCCAAUUUGAUUUAGUAACAUUGAUUAUUAAUAAUGCAUGUUAGGUGUUUGUAUUAAUUACUAUGAAGAGUUGUUGUUUAAUUAUGAUUGUUGAAUGUUGUGGUUGAGUUGAUGAUGAA
rnacentral:lncRNA from 1 species